CUACUAAUGAAGAGUCCCAAACUAGACGAAACAGCUGUCCAUUAC
rnacentral:hammerhead_ribozyme from 1 species